rnacentral:rRNA from 1 species
CGCGUAGGUGGUUCGUUAAGUUGGAUGUGAAAUCCCCGGGCUCAACCUGGGAACUGCAUCCAAAACUGGCGAGCUAGAGUAGGGCAGAGGGUGGUGGAAUUUCCUGUGUAGCGGUGAAAUGCGUAGAUAUAGGAAGGAACACCAGUGGCGAAGGCGACUUACUGGACUAUUACUGACGCUGAGGUACGAAAGCGUGGGGAGGCAAAACA